CCUUUCCUCAAAAGAUCUUGAACCAGGCACUUCCUCCCUGUGCCAGAGCUGGAGGCCCAUCCCACGGGAAGAUUCAGCUUCUCUUUACCUUGUAACCCGCCCAGACGGCGCUGCAACUCGGGUCAAGUUCAAGAUGAAGGUGCCCUCCUAACCUCUCCGAGUUGACUCCAACAGGGGACAGCGCUACCGAGACGAGUCCCAUCACUCCAGGCAUGGGGAUCUGGGGCUGCCGAGAGUGGCCUGGAGGCAGUUCAGAGGCGAAGACUACGACAGUCUCUCAGCCCCGCGUCUCCGACCCCCUGGCCGCGGCGCCUGAUUUCUACCUGGCCACCGCCGCAUUUCCUCCCGGAGCCUUGUACAAUAAGUCAAAGCGAAUUGGGGACGUUUAGGGACCGGAGAUUGCCCUGGCGUCCCCGGGGCCCGGUGUCUACAGCCUCCUCUGACAGCUCCAGGCUGGCCCUGUGCUGUCUGUGCUACAUCUACCGAAGGCUAACGACGGGCUUUUAUCCGCGGGAGGAGUAGGUAUGGAGCCGGGAGAAUACAAAGAUGCUAUUAUUGUUUUGGCUGGUAGGAGUGAGUGAAAUUCCCAAGUUCCCAAAAUGUUUUGUUAUUCCCCAGUAGACCGAGAUCCGGGAUAGGGCCUACUGUUUCAGGAGUCCUGGUUUCGCUGGCUUCUCCUAGGAAUCCCAGGCAGCCUGGGAUUCCUAUUCAGGCUGGGGAGCUCAGCCCACUCCACACCCAAAGCCCUUUAGACCAGACCAGACCGGCCUUGGUCACCGAAGGAUCAACCAGGACUGCUGUGCCUUGUGUGGCCUGCGGGACUUGUGCAGGAGUCACCCCAACGGUGUGUCUGUAACUGGGAAUACAGAAGUUGCUAUAAAUGGAUUUAUUGGCAACCUCUAACCUUGCUGUGGCAAACCCGCCUUUAAAGACAACUGUUUUAAACAAGUUCCCCCAUAAAAACUUCAACCUCACGCAGAGCUUCCCAAUGUAAAGAUAUCCGGGGAGGGGAGUGUCCAUACCUAAAGUUCUUAUGAAAAGGGGCAGGAAGCAAAAUGCCAC
rnacentral:lncRNA from 1 species